AUACGGAGGGUGCAAGCGUUACUCGGAAUCACUGGGCGUAAAGCGCGCGCGGGCGGGCUGAUAAGUUGGAUGUGAAAGCCUACGGCUCAACCGUAGAACUGCAUCCAAAACUGUCAGUCUAGAGUCUGGGAGGGGAAGAUGGAAUUAGUUGUGUAGGGGUAAAAUCCGUAGAGAUAACUAGGAAUACCAAAAGCGAAGGCGAUCUUCUGGAACAGUACUGACGCUGAGGCGCGAAAGCGUGGGGAGCAAACAGGAUUAGAUACCCUAGUAGUCC
rnacentral:rRNA from 1 species